rnacentral:rRNA from 1 species
UACGGAGGGGGCUAGCGUUAUUCGGAAUUACUGGGCGUAAAGCGCACGUAGGCGGCUUUGUAAGUUAGAGGUGAAAGCCCAGGGCUCAACCCUGGAAUUGCCUUUAAGACUGCAUCGCUAAAAUUGUGGAGAGGUAAGUGGAAUUCCGAGUGUAGAGGUGAAAUUCGUAGAUAUUCGGAAGAACACCAGUGGCGAAGGCGACUUACUGGACACAUAUUGACGCUGAGGUGCGAAAGCGUGGGGAGCAAACAGG